rnacentral:rRNA from 1 species
UACAGAGGGUGCAAGCGUUGUUCGGAAUUAUUGGGCGUAAAGCGCGUGUAGGCGGCUUUGCAAGUCGGGUGUGAAAGCCCUCAGCUCAACUGAGGAACUGCCCUCCAAACUGCUUUGCUUGAGGCCGGGAGAGGCGAGUGGAAUUCCCAGUGUAGCGGUGAAAUGCGUAGAUAUUGGGAGGAACACCAGUGGCGAAGGCAGCUCGCUGGGACGUUACUGACGCUGAGACGCGAAAGCGUGGGGAGCAAACAGG